CGAAAGCCUGACGGAGCAACGCCGCGUGGGGGAGGAAUGUCUGUGGAUUGUAAACCCCUUUUCUCAGGGAAGAAGUUCUGACGGUACCUGAGGAAUCAGCAUCGGCUAACUCCGUGCCAGCGGCCGCGGUAAGACGGAGGAUGCAAGCGUUAUCCGGAAUUAUUGGGCGUAAAGGGUCCGCAGGUGGCUAUUCAAGUCUGCUUUCAAAGAGUGGAGCUCAACUCCAUAAAGGGAGUGGAAACUGAGUAGCUAGAGUAAGGAAGGGGUAAGAGGAAUUCCCAGUGUAGCGGUGAAAUGCGUAGAUAUUGGGAAGAACACCAGCAGCGAAGGCGUCUUACUGGUCCUUAACUGACACUGAUGGACGAAAGCUAGGGGAGCG
rnacentral:rRNA from 1 species